UACGUAGGGUGCGAGCGUUGUCCGGAAUUAUUGGGCGUAAAGGGCUCGUAGGCGGUCUGUCGCGUCGGUCGUGAAAACUUGGGGCUUAACCCUGAGCUUGCGGUCGAUACGGGCAUGACUGGAGUUCGGUAGGGGAGACUGGAAUUCCUGGUGUAGCGGUGAAAUGCGCAGAUAUCAGGAGGAACACCGGUGGCGAAGGCGGGUCUCUGGGCCGAUACUGACGCUGAGGAGCGAAAGCGUGGGGAGCGAACAGG
rnacentral:rRNA from 1 species